rnacentral:tRNA from 2 species
GAAAAAGCACCACGCAAGAACUGCUAACUCAUGCUCCCGUGUAUAAAAGCACGGCUUUUUCA